rnacentral:rRNA from 1 species
UACGGAGGAUGCGAGCGUUAUCCGGAUUUAUUGGGUUUAAAGGGUGCGUAGGCGGGCUUUUGAGUCAGCGGUAAAAAUUCGGGGCUCAACCCCAUCCGGCCGUUGAAACUGGGGGUCUUGAGUGGGCGGGAAGAAGGCGGAAUGCGUGGUGUAGCGGUGAAAUGCAUAGAUAUCACGCAGAACCCCGAUUGCGAAGGCAGCCUUCCGGCGCCCUACUGACGCUGAGGCACGAAAGUGCGGGGAUCGAACAGG